rnacentral:lncRNA from 1 species
AGGGCAGAGCUCGCCACGGCGGGGUCAGCGGCUAAUGGAGAACGCUGGAUGCCUCUGCAGCGUGCGGAAGGAAGGCGCUCAGGCUGCUCCGCUCCCUCCCACGACCUGUCCCCCCACAGCUGGCAUCUACACGCAGGCACAGACCGGGCACCAAGAUCCACUCCAGCAGGAGACUUUUUGCCCCUUCUCCCCAGCACAGGAAAUAACCGAACCCCUGGGCCCCCAUUCCCGGAGGCACAGCCAAAGACAUGAGGCCGGGUGGUCGUUCACACCUCUGCAGUACAGGCAUGUGAUGCUACCAGCGUGCACACGCACUCUGCUCAGGUGCACACGGCCAUGGAGACCGAGGCCUGAGCACGUCUGCCUGCGUGGUCGACAGCCAAGAAGCCACGAGCUGCGUGCACAGCUGGGGAGGAAUAGCCUGGAGCGCCGCCAGGAUCCCUGCCAGGGAGGAAGGGGCACCAGGCCCCAGCAGAGACACGCGUGGGAGGCCAGAGCCCAGCAGAGUGGGGGAAGCGGUGUCACGCCUGUAACAAACUGGGUGCGGGCGGAGGCCCAUUCCUGGUCUGGG